AUAACCUGGAAUGUUUUAACAUGCGAGUGAUUUCGUACUAUCGCUUAUACACAGAAUAUCAAAUGCAUCUUUAAAGCAACAGGCCAACUCUGCACAGAACAGACAAGAAUCAACGGCGACGUCAGCAAAGCAGCACUACCUCCGCCAGUCCAGAUACCUGCCAGGUAUGAAUUCAAAGAGCACCUGUACAGACAGACAGAAGGGCAACAAGAACCAGUUUGGAAACUUGCCUUGUAAAUCCAAGGGACAGGACUUUGGCAACAACAAAGAUUCCUUCAUCAGCCCCUUUUACAACAGUGGGUAUUACUCAUCGUCUUUGCUAGACAGACAGAAGAACACUCUGGCCCCGAUAGUUGCAUCUGCCAUUGACCUGUCCACUGCUGCCAACUUGAGAAAAGACAUGAAUCCAAAAACUUCUAAGAGGGACAAUUCAAACAAGCUUUUCACAUCACAUGACGAUGAGAAUAGAUGGAGCAACAGAUCAUUCUGCAACGAAACACCAAGAUCUACCAGGACUGUGAAGACUACUUUUGGUCGAAACUCAAAUCUCGCCCCGGUGCACGGGAGAGUGGAUUGGAUGGCCAAAUAUGGAGGUUUCCGGUAGCACAUAGAGAUGACUCAAAAGCACAGAAGAGUGGACAAUAAAACCUCUAUUAAGGCCUCCAUGUUAGGACAGUCGGAUGAGGCCAAGAUUAAUGUUAAGGAACGUGAAAUUACAUGAAGAGAAUAAAAUGAAAAACAGAGAACUUUCCUGCAUUUCGAUGCAACUACGUAGCCUGAAGAACAUCAACCCUAAUAGCUCUUGUUUAUAGUUACAACAAUGGCAAACGAUUAUUAAUCAACUUAGUUAUUUUACACAAA
rnacentral:lncRNA from 1 species